rnacentral:rRNA from 1 species
GGAUUAGAUACCCUGGUAGUCCACGCUGUAAACGAUCAUCACUCGCUGUUGGCGAUACACUGUCAGCGGCCAAGCGAAAGCAUUAAGUGAUGCACCUGGGGAGUACGGUCGCAAGAUUGAAACUCAAAGGAAUUGACGGGGGCCCGCACAAGCGGUGGAGCAUGUGGUUUAAUUCGAUGAUACGCGAGGAACCUUACCAGGGCUUAAAUGCAGAACGACAGGUUUAGAGAUAGACUUUUCUUCGGACGUUUUGCAAGGUGCUGCAUGGUUGUCGUCAGCUCGUGCCG